ensembl:snRNA U6 U6 spliceosomal RNA
GUGCUCGCUUCAGCAGCUCAUACACUAAAACUGGAACAAUACAGAGAUGAUGAGCACGGCCCCUGUGCAAACAUGACACCCAAAUUCAUGAAGUGUUACAUGUUUCU